rnacentral:rRNA from 1 species
GACGAACGCUGGCGGCGUGCUUAACACAUGCAAGUCGAACGGAAAGGCCCCUUUGGGGGUACUCGAGUGGCGAACGGGUGAGUAACACGUGAGUAACCUGCCCUUGACUUCGGGAUAACUUCAGGAAACUGGGGCUAAUACCGGAUAGGAAUCCUUGCUGCAUGGUGGGGGUUGGAAAGCUUCGGCGGUUUUGGAUGGACUCGCGGCUUAUCAGCUUGUUGGUGGGGUAGUGGCUUACCAAGGCUUUGACGGGUAGCCGGCCUGAGAGGGCGACCGGCCACAUUGGGACUGAGAUACGGCCCAGACUCCUACGGGAGGCAGCAGUGGGGAAUAUUGCACAAUGGGCGGAAGCCUGAUGCAGCAACGCCGCGUGCGGGAUGACGGCCUUCGGGUUGUAAACCGCUUUCAGCAGGGGCGAAGCUUGUGGUGACGGUACCUGGAGAAGAAGCACCGGCUAACUACGUG